AGGAAAACCUCCUGCGAAUGAAAACAACAGGGUGCAAUGUUGCAACCUGCAAAACAGUGGUCCGGCAACCCUGGGGUGGGGGCUUACCUUCUCUAAGUACCAUAUACUCACUCCUCUGAGACGGGUACAAUACCAAGUGAUAGGAAAAAAAACCCGGCUUAUCCAAAAUUCAGCCGCGUGAGCACCGCCUGUUGUCGUCGAGAGCUAGUUUGGGGCACCGCAAACAGACCGCGACCGGAGGGCCGAGGCGGGGGUCGCCCACACAGCGCGAAUCCAAGUUGGCCUCCGCGCCCACGCCGGAACUGGCCCCAUCUACUGCCUCCCCGGCGUCCCGGCCCGCCGCGGCGCCCACCGCCGCUCCCGCCGCCGCGCGCCCGGCCAACUUCCCACCCAGCCCUGGCGGUCGCAGCCCAGCCCCGAUCGGAGUCCGGGUCCCGCUGCCGCGUGCGGGCGGGUGGGGGAGGGGCCGUCGCCUCCGCCUCACCCGACGUGCCGCGAGAACAAAGCGACGGCCGCGGCGACGCUAACUUUUUCGGUGUCUGUUCUGCGCCUCCUGAGGCGACUACUUACAGAGGAGAGGUCCGCUGGUCGUGAGAAAGUCCGCGCCAGCCAGCGUCUGAGUCCAGGACGCAGCGCCAGCGAGGCUUCACGCACUUCGCCGGAUCCCGCCCGCCGCUGGCGCCCCUUCCUCCCUCUCUCCCUCCUCCAGGAGGCGCUGGUAGCAAGGAAGCAAGAGGUGACAGCUUGAACCGGGGACUUGUAAAGGACCCACAGCAGAGAGCGGUUUUCACCCUGAGAUUGAGUGUAUAUCAGAUCCCUCUUCAUUCCUCCAUCUGGCCUUCCUCUGCUGACCUUGUAGAAGACCAUGGACUUCUGCUUGGAUAAAAAGACUACUACUAAUAUUUAUCAUUAUUGAACACUAGUUCUGGACCAGGCACAUUCAUCCAUUUUUAUAUACCUUUCUCUGUUCAUUCCAUAUAACAUUUCUCUUUUCUUUAUUUACACUCAUAUUUAGCUUUAUGUAACUUAACACUUGAUUAUAAAUUGCAGAUAUAGUUUAUAAUCAAAGAGGGGCAUGGUAAGGAUAGUUUGACUAAAGGGAAGAUUAGAAAAAUGUAACUAAAGGGAAAUGAUACUGCAUAUGCUGUAUUUAGGAUUUGAUAUCAUGUCCUCAAAAUUUAGUAUUCAGGUAGUUUACAAUAGAAAAACAAUUACCUUGCUCAUCCCCAAUAAUUAAUCAUGUGGUUACAAAAUAUGUUUCUCCAAAAAUGAUGAAGUAAUACAUGAAGUAAUGUAUAACUGCUUUUGAAUUUCAAUUUAAUUGAGUA